AACAGGAGCUGAGGAUUUGAACAGCCCCAUCAGAGUAAAGAAAACAAUGUUAAAAGGAUUGCUCAGCUCACAAACAAGAGCAUUUUGAUGCAGGGUUGGCAGGAAAGAGGUGCCUGUAAUCAGUCAGCAUUUUAAAUGAGGUAACAGGGUAUAAUUGUCUACUGACCACUGCACGCAUUUGUUUAUGACAUGCUCCCCAGGCUUU
rnacentral:lncRNA from 1 species